AAGUGAAACAAAGAAAUGAUCUAUAAAUCAAUUAAAUUUUGUAAACGAUUUUUUACAUUACAUUAGAUACAUUAUAUUGUUUCCAGUGCUUUAUUUCAUAGGUAACCUAUCUGUAUGUAUGGUUUGCUAUAAAGCAAAUGGUUUGACUCUGUUUCAGGAGAUGCACUAAUUUAUGUUGGUAACAUUAUACUUUUUCAGCUGUUUCUUUUCGACGGGUAUGGAAAGUUAAAAUCAGUUGAUGGCGAUCACCUUCAAGCACGGCUAUUCAAUGAUUCUAUCAAAGCAUUACAAAUGGAAACAUCACAGAUCACAAAAAUGGAACAUAAUACUGUACAAGUAGAUGCAUUAUGGUCGGGUGUGGCUCAUUUGGAAGUAGAACUUUUAUUCACGAGGGAAGUUAUAGCAGCUAUGCUUCGCUUGAGGCGUGACUGGCAUUUCAGAGAUGCAAGAACAAUAUUUACACGCUAUAAUAUUUCUGAGUCGACGAAAUGUAGUUCUGACGAACAUUGAGAGAUGAUACUGAAUAUUCUAGCCUGUGUAAUUUGUCUUAUUGGAUUAACACGAUGCCGUGGUUUUGUGUAAAACCACGUUACAGAAACUUGUCUUGUUCUGAUUUGUCAUUUUACAAACACAACUGGAUUGGAUAUGUCACAAAUCUGAACAAAUGUGAACUUCACUUAGCCAACAGGAAACUAUUUACCAUUGGGAAGAUAAUAGAUAUUACAAUUUUUCCAACUUCUAGAUGUAAACAGCAAGCAGCGUUUGAUUUACAAACUAUACCAUGUACAAAAUAUAGUAGAAAAAAACUGUGGAUUUUUGAAAAACUCAACAGGGUAUUUUUACAAUGGAACAUGGAUACUACGGCAUUGUAAAGGAGAGCUUAAAAGCGUGGGAGAUUGUCUUCGCAACACUGUUUUGUACUUUUGGGGUGACUCAACACUACUCCAGUGGUUUGAUUAUUUUCAUUCUCAUACUAUCUUAGGAUGUAAAACUGUAUAUCGUGAAGGUCAUGGCUUUUUUAAAAGGAUCAGAGCUUUUUGCAAACAAUACAAUUUAUUGUUGAUUUAUAUACCUCAUAACAUUCCAGUAUAAACAGUACUUUUGCCAACACAUUGCCUGAUCAACUGAACUGUUCAAAUACUGUAGGCAAACGUAUUUUAGUUAUUCAUUUGUAUGCACAUAUCCAGCUUCAAAGUAUAAAGUUUUCAUUGCCAAUAUGCUCUCAGUACGGCGAUAUUUGGAACAAGUGAUAAAAAAAUUGUGUAUUUAGAUUUUUUUAUAAAAUUGCCCCAUACACAUCGACACGAGAGAUGUGAAACUUGGACAAUAAGGCAGUCAGAUUAUAUUGGCUUUUUAUAUACUUUCAUCAUACGUGAAGUGUUACUUGGGCUCCAGCAACAAAAAAAAUAAUACCCCUGAAUAACAGGGAUGCAACAACUGCAGUAAAAAAUAUGAAUUUACAUCCAAACAAAAUGUUGGUAUCAGCUAUGGUUGAAACUCUUUUGAACUACAUUUGUAAUAAUCGCAUAGAAAAACACGUUGUUGGUAAGUAAUGUUCAUGACAGUUUCAACACACGCAUUACUAUAUAUUGUAAGUACGUGAAUUAUGUCACUUUGAAAACUUACAAACUAGCUGAAAAGCAAACAAGUGUCAUGGUUUGAAUGAUUAUUUGUUGACAUUUUCAUAACAUAUUGCCUGUGCAUUUAUAAAAUAUGCAUGCAUAGCGUACCAUUCUGCUGAUAGAUAUUCUAGGUUAUAUAAAGUAACUAUAUUACACUGAUAUUCAUAAAAGAUGUUUUGUAGAUUUUGUGGCUGUGAAAAUCCACGUAAUAUAGUUCAGAGCAAUAUCCAGAAUUAUCAUAUGUAAGUUCCUACGACAUAGCUGUUUCAGUAAAAUAUCGAUAUAAAAAGUCAAUGGAAUUACGUGAUUUUACAUUUUGUCUUGUUAGAAAAAAGAACUAUAAAACGUUUUGGUAAAAUCAUUUUUAAUACAGAAAACAUGCGGUUUAUCACAAGUAUUGAUUAUCAAAAUUUCGAUUUUGGAUAUGUUUUUCUUUCCUGUGAUAAAGAAGUGUUGUUUCUGCAUGAGCUGGUCGGGUAAGAGAAAACAAAAAUAAUUUUAAAAAAUCCACUUUGCUCGAAACAACAAAUUUUAACAUGUAUCAAUGUUAUAAAAACACUUUUAUAGGAUUAAAAUUUACAAUAUUAACUUUAUUUCAAGUUCAUGAAGGACAUACAUAUACAUAUACAUAGUAAUUGGUUUUGUUUAAACUAGUAAAUGUUAGAUGGAGGCAAAAAUGCCUCGUACCAUGACAAAAACAUUUCUGAAGCGGAUUUGUUUUGAAGAGCAAUAAACAGACGUCCUUUUGAAAUUACAUAGAAAUACAUGUCUAAAAUAUUCGCAAAUACGUUUAAAUCAAAGUAAAGGUAUCUGUCUUUGAGAUUCAUUGAGCAAACCUGAAAAAAGACGGAUAUUGUGCCAGUAAAAUAGACUCUCCCCGUUGACUUUCGUCAGUUUGCAUUUGCCCACAUGUCUUGUCGCAGAGAGACAAUAUCCUUCAGCAGCGUUUACUGACAAAUGAUUACAACAUCACCUUCACUAGGUUUUGUAUUGAGUUCAAACAAACAUUUAUAUGCCAUGUCAUUUCUUAAUCCUUCUUGAUGAAAUAGAAAAGCUACGCGUUCCUAAGCCAACGAAAUUAUGGACUGCUUCGAUGAGCCAUCUAAGACAUAGAAGACAGAGCGUUUAUCGCAACGACAUAUUACGAGUAGCUACAUCCAGGAACAGGGGCUAGCUUAACUGUCCGCCUACUUAACUGAAGAACUGUUGCAAACGGUACUUUUAUCUAAAAUAAACAAUUAAAAGGUGGUGUUUAACAUGUUUAAUCAAUGAAGAGUAUCAAAAGUACCAAAACAAUUAACUGAAAAGUUUGGGAAGAAAAGGAAAAGACACAACUUUAACUGAGUAAGACAUUAAUCUACACAAUGUACCCACCUUUGAUUUGCAGUUUGUGAUGUACACACAAUAUUUAGUUUAGUCGGUGUAUUGUGCUGUGAAUUGAAAGACAUAUUGUGUCCAAAUUCGACAUAUUAUCCCUAUACCUGCAAUCUCCACAGUAACCUAUAGAUAGCUUUUGGUAUUGUAUUCAGAUACGUGUUGACCGAACUAAGUCUCCUGUUUGCCGCACAAUUGAGAAUAAAGUACAAUAAGACAACACUAAAUCCUCGAAUCUGACCACAUACAAAACAUGUAACAUCUUGAACGCCACAACCUAGUUUGAUGAAAAGUGUAUUUGGUAUUGUUUAUACUAAAAAUGAUGACUGCUAUAAUGCUCGCCACAGUUUUUACUGGAUUUUGUUUUCUUUUUAAUAAACUUAGUGCGAAACUCAUCCGGUUUUAUAAGCAAUGUUUUACGCAAGAUAUAAGUGGUAUGAUUCAACAAACCAUGGCAGAAAAAUCCCGUAUCUACAGCUGAUGCACUCAAGCAGGGUAAUGUAUAAUACGAACUGAAUAAACGUAAGCAUGUAUUAAAACGGUGUUAUAUGUGCAUGACGCUUUUUGUUUGGAUUCUUGUGUACCUGUUCGAGCGAAAAUAUCGUUUUUCAAUAUACGACGUUACUGCACAAACAUUAGAG
rnacentral:lncRNA from 1 species